rnacentral:rRNA from 1 species
UGGGGAAUUUUGGACAAUGGGCGCAAGCCUGAUCCAGCCAUGCCGCGUGCGGGAAGAAGGCCUUCGGGUUGUAAACCGCUUUUGUCAGGGAAGAAAUCUUCUGAGUUAAUACCUCGGGAGGAUGACGGUACCUGAAGAAUAAGCACCGGCUAACUACGUGCCAGCAGCCGCGGUAAUACGUAGGGUGCAAGCGUUAAUCGGAAUUACUGGGCGUAAAGCGUGCGCAGGCGGUUUUGUAAGACAGAGGUGAAAUCCCCGGGCUCAACCUGGGAACUGCCUCUGUGACUGCAAGGCUUGAGUGCGGCAGAGGGGGGAUGGAAUUCCGCGUGUAGCAGUGAAAUGCGUAGAUAUGCGGAGGAACACCGAUGGCGAAGGCAAUCCCCUGGGCCUGCACUGACGCUCAUGCACGAAAGCGUGGGGAGCAAACAGGAUUAGAUACCCUGGUAGUCCACGCCCUAAACGAUGUCAACUGGUUGUUGGGAAGGUUCCUUCUCAGUAACGUAGCUAACGCGUGAAGUUGACCGCCUGGGGAGUACGGCCGCAAGGUUGAAACUCAAAUGAAUUGACGGGGU